UCUCGUCUGGUGGUUCUUGGAUCCAUCACCAGCUGGAGCCACAAGACAGAGGAAGAAGGUGGAGGACGGACUAAGUGUACCACGAUCUGACAGCCCCGAAAAUAUCGGCCUGAGGCAUCGGAAGCUUCAAGGAACAACAACACAUCUCCAUGGCAAGCUCAGACUCGACCGUACAGACCCGUCCGGUCUCGUCUACGACUCCGUUAACUGAGAAACGCCGCCGACCCGCGGGAGGCACUUUCCCCAUCAAUGCCUAAAGUGGACCUGAACCUUUGGACCUGAUGUGAACUAGAAUGAAGCUGGCUGGACCUCAAGUACUCUGUGGAAGCUUCAAGGACCAACAACACAUCUCGGUAUGACAAGUUGAGACUCGACCGUACAGACCCGUCCGGUCUCGCAUACGACGCCGUUAACGGCAAACGGAGAAACGACGCCGCUGACCCGCGGGAGGUACUUUCUCCAUCACUGCCAAAAGUGGACCUGAAAUUUUGGACCUGAUGUGAACUAGAAUGAAGUUGGCUGGAUAUAAAGUUAACUGGACCUGCAGCGAAGUGGACCUGAAGCUAACUGGACCUCAAGUAGUCUGUGGAAGCGUCAAGGACCAACAACACAUCUCGGUACGACAAGUCGAGACUCGACCGUACAGACCCGUCCGGUCUCGCACACGACGCCGUUAACGGCAAACGGAGAAACGCCGCUGGGAGGCACUUUCUCCAACACUGCCUACAGUGGACCUGAUGUGAACUAGAAUGAAGUUGGCUGGAC